ACAAUUCCGCAAGCACGUGGCAUAUGCAAUUGUGCAAAUAUAAAAAUCUUAAUUAGAAUAACAAUCAGAAAACUUUGACCGAAACAUAUAAAAACGAUAAAUACAUACGAUUAUCGUUGAAUUUCUGCAUUCCAUUAACAAAAUGAUCAAAAUAAUUUUAUAUUGCACCAGAUCGUCGUGUUAAAUCGGCUUUGGAAACAUCGAAAACGAACGAAGUGAAUCGGAAACAACAGAAUGAGCGAAGGUCUACGUCAGGUGUUUCGAACAAAUACAGAACGAGAUUUAGAAAGAGAGGGACCAUCGAAUACGGAAACAUUGGCGCGAAUAAACGUUGUGGUAGGAUGAGAGAGGUUGCGGUAGGACCUUGAACCUGUUGCGUAAGAAGCGGACUCAGAGAAUGAUGUUGGAUGAUGUAAUAUAAAUUUGUGAUGACCAUAAGUAUAAAGAUACUAUAUGUAAUGAUAUUUAUUAUUUAAUCGUCGAAGCAUGGAGAUUUAAAAUUGAGAACGAAAAGUUUUAAUUAAAACAGAAAAGGAACAUAUUUUUUCACACUAUUGCCCUGAGAGAAAAUGGACGCACAUGCAGGACGUAUUAAAUAAACUGAGCGAUCGCUUGUAUUAUAGAUAUACCAGCAUAGGAACGAGUUUCUAGAAUAAACUUAAUUAAAAAGUGCAACGAAAAGGAAAAAAGAAAGAUUGUUAUAAAAAGUUUUACAUUCACCUGUAUGUUUGAAAACGAAAAAAAAAUACAUAUAUGUAUAUAGGUCCAAUUUCAAAUGAAAUCAUCAUUCACACGUGUUUAAUCCAAAUAAAAAGAAAAUACAUCGAUCAAUUGAUAAUAUUUAAAAUGGAAAUAAAAAAUUAUUGAACGAAAAUUUUUAUUCCAUGUUACGUUUUUCAGGGAUACGAGUCAGAUGACGUAAUAUAUAAUAUAUUAACAUUAUUUUUCAUCUUUCUUGACGAUAUUGCAAAAUAAAAAUCUUUUACGCAAAAACGCAAAUAGAAUAUCGAUAGAAAAAAAAAAGAAAAAAGGCAAAAA